UCUGAUCUACAAUUAGGAUUAAAAGCCAGUGCUUUUGAAUAAUAGAAAAGUGCAUAAAAAUAUUUGAGUGAGAAAAAGUUGAACCUAAAUUCUAAUUCACAUAGUACUUAUUAGCUGAAUGACCUUGGUGAAAUUUAAUUUCCAUAAGCCUCCUUUUUCAUCUACAAAAUAGGAGUAAAAUUUGUGUAGGAGAGAAAAUAUUUAUUUUCCUUUUCCAUCACUAGGUUCAUGGCUGAGGCACCUAUAACAAAAGACAGGUUAACAAGAGAAAAGUGAUAUGAUUUGGAUUUGUGUCCCUUCCCAAGUCUCAUGUUGAAUUAUAAUCCCCAGUGUUGGAGGUAGGGCCUGGUGAGAGGUGAUUGGAUCAAGGGUGGUCCUUCAUGAAUGGUUUGGCCCAGUCUUGGUGCUGUUCUAAUGAUAGUGAAUGAGCAAGCUAUCACAAGAUUUGGUUGUUUAAAAGUGUUCAGUACCUGUCCCCUCACUUUCUCUUCCUCCUACUCCAGCCGUGUAAUGUUUCCUCAAUCUUCAUAGGAUCAUAGUUGAGACACCCUUCUAACACAAAAGACUGAUUAACAAGAGAAAAACAAGCAAGUUUAAUAAUAUGUGCCACCUCCAUCAUGUGGGAGACAAGUAAGUCUUUCCAGAAAGUACAAAAAAAAUUUUUUUUUUUUAGUAGAGACGGGUUUCACCAUGUUGGCUAGUCUGGUCUCGAACUCCUGACCUCAGGUGAUCCACCCAUCUAGGCCUCCCAAAGGGCUGGGAUUGCAGGUGUGAGCCAUGGCACCUGGCCUUUUUUUUUUUUUUAAUUACAUCUGAGAGCAGAGGCUUUAUUUACAAUGAUAUUCAAACAGGAUUUAGCAAAGGAUACCUCCUCCUGCUCGUAUCUUAGCAGCAUGGGUUGUACUUCAUAACAGAAAAGAGAAAUAUCCUGGGAGCAGGAAGUUCCAUGCCUUGCUUCUGCUUUGCCAUCUGUCAUGACUGAAAGCUCCCUGAGGCCUCCUCAGAAGCAGAUGCUACCACGCUUCCUGAACAGCCUACAGAACCAUGAGCCAGCUAAACCUCUUUUCUUCUAAGUUACCCAAUCUCAGACAGGUUCUGUCAAAGCUGCUGCUGCUGUUCAAGGGUGACAGAACAUGACCUCCACAGAGCACAGGAGAAUUCAAGACGAAUUGAAAUUUCAGGUGUCCCAAUUUCUAAGCACAACAAAUUACCCCUGCCUGGAUUGCCUUAGCUGGCCAAGUGGAGAAGAACAUGCCAGCUGCCCUCCAAAAUUUUAUCCAAGAACAGAGCUGAAGCAAAACCAACUUCUCAGAACUGGAAGGAGUUUGUACUAGAGAGAACAGUUUACCGAUAACUUCAGUUUUUAAAUGAUUCACAUUGGCUACAAUAGCCAAAAAAUAGUGGACUCCACCAAGGCACUUGUGCUGAAAGCUUGGAUUUCAAGCUGAGAGAAUUAAAGUGUUCAAAUUUCAAUGUUGGUUGGCUUGACAUUUUUCUACCUGAAUGUUUUGGCUAUUCAGCGAACAGCUUGCAUAGCCUGUAUGGUUACCAUGGAGCCCAUGGUAGACUGAAUACCGCUUAAAUCUUCUAAAUCCUCCUGUUAAAGGAUUUUAUCCCACUCUCUGCUUCUUCCAACAAAAUAAAAUUUGAAUGGUGGCAGUCAGUAGGUGACUCAGAACAAGUUAUUGAUUUUCAGUUUCUCAACUUAUAAAACAGAGAUGUGAUUUCUUAUUUUAUAACAUUUUGCUAAGUAUCUUAUCAGUAAUUAGGUUUUGAUAUCUAUAAAAUACACUGAAUUCCUUAGAAUUAAUGCUCUCUGGUGUUUCUAAUUUGAAAAAAAACCUUAAAAUAUCUAUAAUGAAAUACACAAAUAAUAUCUGGUAAUUCUGCUAAAUGUGUAAUUUUUAAAAUAUUUUUAAUUUCAAAAAUAAAUAAAUUAGAAAGUAACACCUUGAUUUCUUUCUCUCAGGACUAGAAAGACAGUUCUGUGUUGUUAUUGCAGUUCUUUCUUUUGCCUUAAUCAUUGAUUCAUCUUUAAUUUAUCAGGCAGCAUUUUCCCAAGGGAUCUAAGACACUUUAUUUUUAGUGUAAGAGAUUUGUAAUUUUUUUCUCUCUGUUUUAAAAAAUAUGCAAUUAUCCACACAUAAACUAAUAAGAAAUGUCAUACUGGUACACAUCUCAGCUUUACUGGCUAGAGAAUUCUGUCCCUAUAAACAGUAUAAACAAAUGGUUUGUGGGAGGGCAUGUUUGCCCUCCAUUAUGUUAACUGUAGAAUGUCAAGACAUUUUCUCCAGAGCUUGUUGGGAAUCUAUCAGCCAUGCAGGUACCUAAAUGUUUUUAAAUACAUUUAUUUCAACCUAUACUGAAUGUCGAAGUAAUACAUUUCCAUAAUUUUAAUAUCCAUUAUGUAAAAUUCUAGUUCCAUUUCCUUGUUUUACAUUUUUCUUCUUUUAAAUCUCAAAGGAUGCCCCCAUUCUAGUUCCACAGGAGUCAGUGAACAAGUCCGUGUGAAUUACCCUUUGCAGAUCUUUCAUAUUAUGAAUUUUGAUUAAAA
rnacentral:lncRNA from 1 species